GGGUCCUACGGGACGCAGCAGUAGGGAAUUUUCGUCAAUGGGCGCAAGCCUGAACGAGCGAUGCCGCGUGAGUGAAGAAGGCCUUCGGGUCGUAAAGCUCUGUUGCGGGGGAAAAAAGGCAGCAUCAGGAAAUGGGUGCUGACUGAUGGUGACCCGCCAGAAAGUCACGGCUAACUACGUGCCAGCAGACGCGGUAAUACGAAGGUGGCGAGCGUUAUACGGAAUGAUUGGGCGUAAAGGGUGCGCAGGCG
rnacentral:rRNA from 1 species